rnacentral:rRNA from 1 species
CUGCGAAUGGCUCAUUAAAUCAGUUAUCGUUUAUUUGAUAGUACCUUACUACUUGGAUACCCGUGGUAAUUCUAGAGCUAAUACAUGCUAAAAACCCCGACUUUUGGAGGGGUGUAUUUAUUAGAUAAAAAACCAAUGCCCUUUCUGGGCUCUUUGGUGAUUCAUAAUAACUUAACAGAUCGCAUGGCCUUGCGCCGGCGACGGUUCAUUCAAAUUUCUGCCCUAUCAACUUUCGAUGGUAAGGUAUUGGCUUACCAUGGUUUCAACGGGUAACGGGGAAUUAGGGUUCGAUUCCGGAGAGGGAGCCUGAGAAACGGCUACCACAUCCAAGGAAGGCAGCAGGCGCGCAAAUUACCCAAUCCCGACACGGGGAGGUAGUGACAAUAAAUACUGAUACAGGGCUCUUUUGGGUCUUGUAAUCGGAAUGAGUACAAUUUAAACCUCUUAACGAGGAACAAUUGGAGGGCAAGUCUGGUGCCAGCAGCCGCGGUAAUUCCAGCUCCAAUAGCGUAUAUUAAAGUUGUUGCAGUUAAAAAGCUCGUAGUUGAAUCUUGGGCCUGGCUGGCCGGUCCGCCUCACCGCGUGCACUGGUCCGGCCGGGCCUUUCCUUCUGGAGAGCCCCAUGCCCUUCACUGGGUGUGCGGGGGAACCAGGACUUUUACUUUGAAAAAAUUAGAGUGUUCAAAGCAGGCCUUUGCUCGAAUACGUUAGCAUGGAAUAAUAGAAUAGGACGUGCGAUCCUAUUUUGUUGGUUUUUAGGACCGCCGUAAUGAUUAAUAGGGACAGUCGGGGGCAUCAGUAUUCAAUUGUCAGAGGUGAAAUUCUUGGAUUUAUUGAAGACUAACUACUGCGAAAGCAUUUGCCAAGGAUGUUUUCAUUAAUCAGUGAACGAAAGUUAGGGGAUCGAAGACGAUCAGAUACCGUCGUAGUCUUAACCGUAAACUAUGCCGACUAGGGAUCGGGCGAUGUUCCUUUGUUCGCUCGGCACCUUUCGAGAAAUCA